rnacentral:rRNA from 1 species
CCUACGGGAGGCUUCAGUGAGGAAUAUUGGUCAAUGGCCGGAAGGCUGAACCAGCCAUGCCGCGUGAAGGUCAGUGCCCUAUGGGCGUUAAACUUCUUUUGUGCGGGAGCAAUAAUGGUCACGUGUGGCCAGACGAGAGUACCGUACGAAUAGGCAUCGGCUAACUCCGUGCCAGCAGCCGCGGUUAUACGGGGGAUGCAAGCGUUAUCCGGAUUUAUUGGGUUUAAAGGGUGCGUAGGCUGUGAGGUAAGUCAGCGGUGAAAUGCCCCCGCUCAACGGGGUGAAGUGCCAUUGAUACUGGCGUGCUGGAAUGCGGAUGCCGUGGGAGGAAUGUGUGGUGUAGCGGUGAAAUGCAUAGAUAUCACACAGAACACCGAUUGCGAAGGCAUCUCACGAAUCCGCGAUUGACGCUGAUGCACGAAAGCGUGGGUAUCAAACAGGAGUAGAUACCCUAGUAGUC